ensembl:snRNA U6 U6 spliceosomal RNA
GUGCUCACUUGGGCAGCACAUAUACUAAAAUCGGAAUGAUACAGAGAUUAGCAUGGGCCCUGUGCAUGAAUGACAUGCAAAUUUGUGAAGCAUUCCAUAUUUUU